rnacentral:rRNA from 1 species
CAGUCGCCGCGGGAAUACGUAGGUGGCAAGCGUUAUCCGGAAUUAUUGGGCGUAAAGGGCUCGCAGGCGGUUUCUUAAGUCUGAUGUGAAAGCCCCCGGCUCAACCGGGGAGGGUCAUUGGAAACUGGGAAACUUGAGUGCAGAAGAGGAGAGUGGAAUUCCACGUGUAGCGGUGAAAUGCGUAGAGAUGUGGAGGAACACCAGUAGCGAAGGCGACUCUCUGGUCUGUAACUGACGCUGAGGAGCGAAAGCGUGGGAGCGAACAGGAUUAGAUACCCCAGUAGUCCCUGUCUCUUAUACA